CCUACGGGUGGCAGCAGUAGGGAAUAUUUCUCAAUGGGCGCAAGCCUGAAGCAGCAACGCCGCGUGCAGGAUGAAGGCUUUCGGGUUGUAAACUGCUUUUGUUAGGGAAGAUUAUGAUGGUAUCUCAUGAAUAAACACCGACUAACUCCGUGCCAGCAGCCGCGGUAAUACGGAGGGUUCGAGCGUUAUUCGGAGUCACUGGGUGUAAAGAGCGCGUAGGGGGGGAAGCAAGUUAGAUGUGAAAUCCUAGGGCUAAACCCUUGUACUGCAUUUGAAACUGUUAUUCUCGAGUAUGGGAGAGGUAGGUGGAAUUUGUAGUGUAGGGGUGAAAUCCGUAGAGAUUAGGAGGAACACUCAUGGCGAAGGCGACCUGCUAGAACGGAACUGACGCUGAGGCGCGAAAGCGUGGGGAGCAAACAGGAUUAGAUACCCGUGUAGUC
rnacentral:rRNA from 1 species